GCGGUAGUGCAACGGUUCAGCACACGCUCCCGUAUAGCGUGAAAUGUGGAUUCGAAUCCCACCUGACGCA